UAUUAAUACCCUUUCCUUUCUCAGGCCAAUGCCGUCAAGCAUGCUUUAGUUUGCUGUGCAUUCCCCUUGCACAUGAAAUUCAGAUUAACAAGGUUAACAUAACCUGCUUACCCGUCACCAUUUGCUGAAAACAUUCAAGCACUUAAACCAUUCCUAGCACCUGAAACCGCCAACACAAGACAGCGUCAUCCAGCGAGAUUAAACAGCAUAACAAAAACUCAGCGUCCCCGAACAGAGCGCUUUCUUUUACUAACGUUAAUUGUUUUGACCAGUUGUAAACUGUUCUUUAAAUGAUCAAGAACAUUUAAAAAUAAUAAUUUUCCAGGACAACAAGAUUUUUUCCAGGACAAUUUAUGUUUUCUCUCAUUUUCCAUGUGUUUUCCAGGACUGGAACAUUAGUCAUUAAUUUUCCAGGAUUUCCAGGUUUUCCAGGACGCGUGGGAACCCUGGGUAACAGGAAGGUGGGUCGGAUCAGUAUGUUGUAAAUAGUUUGUACAGGAAAGUGAGCUAGUUUCAUUGUUUGUGCUCGUAUCACACUGACCACAUUUCUAUACAAAACCAAUAAAUGAAGUGAUGUAGAUUUGAAA